GACGAACGCUGGCGGCGUGCUUAACACAUGCAAGUCGAACGGAAAGGCCCCUUUGGGGGUACUCGAGUGGCGAACGGGGGAGUAACACGUGAGUAACCUGCCCUUGACUUCGGGAUAACUUCAGGAAACUGGGGCUAAUACCGGAUAGGAAUCCUUGCUGCAUGGUGGGGGUUGGAAAGCUUCGGCGGUUUUGGAUGGACUCGCGGCUUAUCAGCUUGUUGGUGGGGUAGUGGCUUACCAAGGCUUUGACGGGUAGCCGGCCUGAGAGGGCGACCGGCCACAUUGGGCCUGGGAUACGGCCCAGACUCCUACGGGAGGCAGCAGUGGGGAGUAUUGCACAAUGGGCGGAAGCCUGAUGCAGCAACGCCGCGUGCGGGAUGACGGCCUUCGGGUUGUAAACCGCUUUCAGCAGGGGCGAAGCUUGUGGUGACGGUACCUGCAGAAGAAGCACCGGCUAACUACGUG
rnacentral:rRNA from 1 species